AUUUUAAUAGCUUAUUUAAAAAAGUAUAAUAUUGAAGAUAUUAAGAUGGUUUUUUUUCGACCUUAAG
rnacentral:tRNA from 1 species